GACAGAGGUGCCGAGCGUUAGGCGGAAUCACUGGGCUUAAAGCGUGUGUAGGCGGAUCUGUAAGUACCUUGUGAAAUCCCCCGGCUCAACCGGGGAACGGCUGGGUAUACUGGCGGUCUUGAGCCAUCCAGGGGCAGUCGGAACAGACGGUGGAGCGGUGAAAUGCGUAGAUAUCGUCUGGAACGCCGAAGGUGAAAACAGACUGCUGGGGAUGCGCUGACGCUGAGACACGAAAGCCAGGGGAGCGAACGGG
rnacentral:rRNA from 1 species